GAAAUACCCCAGAUGUCCCUCA
rnacentral:misc_RNA from 1 species